rnacentral:rRNA from 1 species
CCUACGGGAGGCAGCAGUGAGGAAUAUUGGUCAAUGGACGAGCGUCUGAACCAGCCAAGUAGCGUGAAGGAUGACUGCCCUAUGGGUUGUAAACUUCUUUUAUAUGGGAAUAAAAUGUUUCACGUGUGGGAUUUUGUAUGUACCAUAUGAAUAAGGAUCGGCUAACUCCGUGCCAGCAGCCGCGGUAAUACGGAGGAUCCGAGCGUUAUCCGGAUUUAUUGGGUUUAAAGGGAGCGUAGGUGGAUUGUUAAGUCAGUUGUGAAAGUUUGCGGCUCAACCGUAAAAUUGCAGUUGAAACUGGCAGUCUUGAGUACAGUAGAGGUGGGCGGAAUUCGUGGUGUAGCGGUGAAAUGCUUAGAUAUCACGAAGAACUCCGAUUGCGAAGGCAGUUCACUGGACUGCAACUGACACUGAGGCUCGAAAGUGUGGGUAUCAAACAGGAUUAGAUACCCCAGUAGUC